rnacentral:misc_RNA from 1 species
GGAAGUGAUCAGCUGUUUCGAAGGCUGCAAGUUUUUGCAAAUUUUGCGUUCUCGUACUUCUGUGGGUAUUUCGUCUCUUUGAGAGCGGAUGCUGCUAAAUUCUCCGAAUUUUUUCUGCUGGAUAGUUUUGUCCCCUCAGUACGAGUACACACCUAUUUAAGGAACUGCUGUAUAUAAUUUUUAUUUUUGUACAAAAAUUCUUCAUUAAAAAAUGAUAUCUAAAGUUCCUAGGCUCUCUAGAUCGUUUGUAAAGCGUUAUGUAAACAUUAAUGAUCAUGCUGUGCGAGAUUUUGCAAUUGCUUCAAGCAACCUGUGGCAUUCAAGUAUCCAACAGCGAGUUUCUCUUUGCCCAAACAAAUGCCGCCCAUGGAAAACCUGUAUGCAGAAUAUGCAUUACAGCACUGAAAAAAUACGUCAACCAAUACCGGGCGUAGAAUAUGGCGAUAUCAAAGAUUUACCAAACCACCCAGAAAAACUGUUAAUUGAUGUGCGUGAGCCACAGGAACUCUUAGAAACUGGAAAAAUUCCAACAAGUAUAAAUAUCCCACUGGAAUCCGUAGUGCAAGUAUUGGCCGAAGAUGUUAAACCGCAGAGAUUUCAAUCGAGGUACGGUCGCAGCAAGCCUUCUAUUCACGAUGAGAUAAUUUUUACCUGUAAGCUGGGAAAACGUGCGCUUAAAGCAGCAGAAAUAGCAAAUGCAAUGGGUUAUACAAAUGUAAAAUACUAUCCCGGAUCUUGGGAAGAUUGGGUCAAAAAUGAAAAUAAGCAUUAAUUUCUGAAUAUGCCACAUAGUAAAUUAACAUCUUGCGUAAUGCAGAUAACAAAUUUCAAUCUCCUUAACUCGAUUCAAAGUUACGUACACAUCUAUGUAUGUACAUAAGUAUAUAUGCACAUAUAUCACAAGGUUUUAAUUAGCACUGCACAUUUGUAUUACUAUAAAUGAAAAUGCAUACAUAAAUACAUACUUACAUACAUAUAAGUAUAUGAGAAAUCAUUGCAUUUAAAUUUAAAAUGUUUAAGUUUUCAAACUGUUUUAAGCUGCACAUAUUGCUCAUUUACUUCAAAAGUAAAAAUGAAUAAAUAUCGCACGUUUAAUAAUAUAGAGAUGCAAUUAAAAAUUUACGUUUUUGGAGAUUCCAUCAAACCGUUACAUAAUAAGCUUGAUAAGGAGAAUAUGUUCAACCUAACAGAUGAGUAAACUUUCCAACUUUUCUAUAUUUUGGUAUGAAUUGAUAAAACAUUGAUGGAAUUAUGAAUUAAUUCUUUAUAUCUGGCGCGUUUUUUUACACGCAUACGUAUGUACAUUAGGGUGGUCUUUAAAAAAGUCAAAUACGCGAUUUUUUUCAGUCUCACU